UUUGAACACAGCUGUAGUUUGAACACGGCUGUAGUCUGAACAUGGCUACAGCGUGCAUGUUUUGUCUCGUGUUUUCGUAUUGGACUUUACCAGCUCAUGUCGACUCUCCUCCAGUGCCAGAGAAAAUCAGCACCCCAUUUAAACUGGAACUUCCCUGCCAGGCCCCUGAAGGUGAAGUUGUGAUCCUUGAAUGGAAACUGAAGGGUAAAGACAGAUAUGUCCUUUUGUACAGAGACGGCAAAGUGCGACAUAAUGAGCCAAAACCCAUUUUUCUCAAAACGAGUGGAACUCAAAGAUUCACAUUUAAAAUCUGGAGAUCUCAGUGUGAUCCUGAAGAACAUUACCUCAAUGGACAGUGGGAUGUACACGUGUGAGGCUAAAAUUUCUUCACAUGAAAAAAAGAAAAUCUCCCAUGAAAUGAAUGUGACAGUGACAGAAGCAGAUGAGCUGUUUGUGAAUCAGUCUGGAGUGGUUGAGCUGCCAUGUUCGUCUCCAGGGGGCGCCACAGUUCAUAAUCUAAAUUGGACUCUGCAGGAUCAGGAAGGGAAAGAGCAUCACCUCCUUCACUUCAG